GUGGGGAAUAUUGGACAAUGGGGGGAACCCUGAUCCAGCCAUGCCGCGUGUGUGAAGAAGGCCUUUUGGUUGUAAAGCACUUUAAGCGAGGAGGAGGCUACCGAGAUUAAUACUCUUGGAUAGUGGACGUUACUCGCAGAAUAAGCACCGGCUAACUCUGUGCCAGCAGCCGCGGUAAUACAGAGGGUGCAAGCGUUAAUCGGAUUUACUGGGCGUAAAGCGCGCGUAGGUGGCCAAUUAAGUCAAAUGUGAAAUCCCCGGGCUUAACUUGGGAAUUGCAUUCGAUACUGGUUGGCUAGAGUAUGGGAGAGGAUGGUAGAAUUCCAGGUGUAGCGGUGAAAUGCGUAGAGAUCUGGAGGAAUACCGAUGGCGAAGGCAGCCAUCUGGCCUAAUACUGACACUGAGGUGCGAAAGCAUGGGGAGCAAACAGGAUUAGAUACCCCAGUAGUCC
rnacentral:rRNA from 1 species